rnacentral:lncRNA from 1 species
UGAUAUGAACUAAUAUGCAUGUAUCCAAAAUUAAAAUCUAAAAUUCAACAAGUAAGAUCAUAUCUAUGUGUAAUUAGAUCAUAUCUAAUUCAUAUUUAGAUCACAUCUAAAAAUUAAUUGAAAUUAAAAUCUCAUACCUGAAUGCGGAUAGUAGAUCAUCGAUUUGAAAUUCAUAAUAGUUGGUUCUUCAUGAUGCUUGGCAGCCGCACAUGCGUCCGACCUCUACGGGUAUCCACAUGAAGUCCUUGUAU